UUUUGUUACUCAACAACCAGUAACCAGUCACUGGUUACCAGUGGAUUGGUUAUCUCUAUUAUCAUUAUGACAUUUAUGAAUCAUGAUUCAUGACACAUCAAUAUCACAACCAAGAUUCUCGAUUAAUCUCGGUUAAAGUCAGUGAAAAAAAAGUAACUGAAUUUUUCACACAAUUAAUUUUAAUCUUGUUUAAGAUCUAACAAUAUUACAGUAAAAUGAAACAUGAAACAUUUGUUUAGCCGAAGAUUAGUUGUCAAACAGAACUAUUAGCUUCAUCUUCUUUCUCCUCAUUGAUAUUUUACAUUUGUGAUUGUGUGUUUUGAUUUUAUUUACAAAUAUCACCAGAAUGACCAGUAAACAUGGAUUGGACUCUGCUUCUUCACCCCAGUCAUCUUUACCUUCACAUCAAUAUACGGACUGUUGUUUAAAGCCAAAAAUGUUUAAAUAUUAUGAGGGUGACUCUGAAUUGAACUCGCCAAAUUCCGUCAAAAUGAAUAAUGGCUCAAGAAUGAAGCAAAGUUUAAAGUUGUCUCGAGAUAAAUCUUAUCGUAAUUACGAUGCCUAAAAAAUUAGCUGAUCAACAAUGGCGACAAAGUUGAAAAAAUAUUGCAAGGAAUGUCGUUCUCCGCCUUUUGCUACUUUAUGCAAAAACCUGUAGAUGCUUGAUUUCAAUAAUAAAAGAGAUGACAUCAAAAAAUGGCCUCAUGGCAUUGUUGAUAUCAAUAUUGACGUGCGAGAUGAUGCACGACUCUUCCUUUUGGUUAAAUCAACUUGUAUCACUACUUGAAUAAUGUAAAAUACAUUUCACCGCAAGGAUAAACAGCCUUCAGGUUCAUGCAAUGUUUCUCUCCUUAUUACUUAACUCAUGGUGAAAUGGUGGACAUUGAAGGCCACAGGUCAUUCAAAAGUUUUUGAUCUUGCUCGAAGAGGAACCACAAAAGACUCAACUUUCUCAAACAAUGAUACAUCUUAAGCAAAUUCUUCACCUUCCAAUCAGUUGAGCCCUACCUCAUGUUUAUUAUCUCAGGGUUGUGAGAUAUCUCCUCCUAAAAACGUUACCCAAUAUCUCCAUGCUACUAAUGGUUUAAUCUAUGGAAAGGAUAACCAUGAUUCGCCUCUUCAUCAACCAAUCAGGCAUGAUGAGUUGAUGUAUGAGAAUAAAUACAGGGCUAUUCAGCUACUUAGUAAGAUGUUGAACGCCAAUAACUUUGCAACCAGACAUACCUUCGACCUAAGAAUCGAAUAUAGUGAGUUUGGGGGACAUUCAUUUUUUAUGUUUCAAGGACAAGGUCAUUCAAGGUCAUUUUUCGGAAAUCGCUGCUGUUCAUGUUAGAGUUCAUUCUGAGGUCCGAACAUCAUUUAGGAAGACAAAAAAUCUUCUUGAUCAAGUUGCAACGAUCUGUGAUGAACGGUGCUUGAGUUAU